UGAGAUUUUUCACAACAUCUAAUGAGUAUCUUCUGUGGCGAUACCAACUUUGAUAUUUCAAAUGAGAUUCAUCGUUAUGGCACAAUAAACGUAUUAUUUGAUUAUAGAUAAUAAUCUAUUUGCAGAAAUACAGCGUAACGAAAUAGGCCAACUGUGUAGUGAAUAUUAUCGUAAAUUCACAUUUCAAGCAUGCUCUUUUAUAUUAUUUUUUGGAGUUUUUAAAGUGGCUGCUUAUAUUUGAGGA